rnacentral:rRNA from 1 species
CCUACGUGAGUCCGCAGUGGGGAAUAUUGCACAAUGGGGGAAACCCUGAUGCAGCGACGCCGCGUGAGUGAAGAAGUCAUUCGUUAUGUAAAGCUCUAUCAGCAGGGAAGAAAAUGACGGUACCUGAGUAAGAAGCCCCGGCUAACUACGUGCCAGCAGCCGCGGUAAUACGUAGGGGGCAAGCGUUCUCCGGAUUUACUGGGUGUAAAGGGGGCGUAGACGGCAGUGCAAGUCUGGAGUGAAAGGCGGGGGCUCAACCCCCGGACUGCACUUGAAACUGUACGGCUGGAGUGCAGGAGAGGUAAGUGGAAUUCCUAGUGUAGCGGUGAAAUGCGUAGAUAUUAGGAGGAACACCAGUGGCGAAGGCGGCUUACUGGACUGUAACUGACGUUGAGGCUCGAAAGCGUGGGGAGCAAACAGGAUUAGAUACCCGGGUAGUC